UACGGAGGGUGCAAGCGUUAUCCGGAUUCACUGGGUUUAAAGGGUGCGUAGGUGGGUUGGUAAGUCAGUGGUGAAAUCUCCGAGCUUAACUUGGAAACUGCCAUUGAUACUAUCAGUCUUGAAUAUUGUGGAGGUCAGCGGAAUAUGUCAUGUAGCGGUGAAAUGCUUAGAUAUGACAUAGAACACCAAUUGCGAAAGGCAGCUGGCUACACAUAUAUUUGACACUGAGGCACGAAAGCGUGGGGGAUC
rnacentral:rRNA from 1 species